rnacentral:rRNA from 1 species
GACGAACCGUCCGAACGUUAUUCGGAAUCACUGGGCUUAAAGGGUGCGUAGGCGGCGCGGAAAGUUGGGUGUGAAAUCUCGGGGCUUAACUCCGAAACUGCAUUCGAUACUGCCGUGCUUGAGGACUGGAGAGGAGACUGGAAUUUACGGUGUAGCGGUGAAAUGCGUAGAUAUCGUAAGGAAGACCAGUGGCGAAGGCGGGUCUCUGGACAGUUCCUGACGCUGAGGCACGAAGGUCAGGGGAGCAAACGGG